UACGUAGGGGGCAAGCGUUGUCCGGAAUCAUUGGGCGUAAAGCGCACGUAGGCGGCCCUGUAAGUCCGUUGUGAAAGUCAAAGGCUCAACCUUUGAAUGCCGAUGGAUACUGCAGGGCUAGAGUCCGGAAGAGGCGAGUGGAAUUCCUGGUGUAGCGGUGGAAUGCGCAGAUAUCAGGAGGAACACCGGUGGCGAAGGCGGUUCUCUGGGCAUUACCUGACGCUGAGGAGCGAAAGCAUGGGGAGCGAACAGG
rnacentral:rRNA from 1 species